rnacentral:lncRNA from 1 species
UGGUGGUGAAAGGUGUUGAUAGCUCAUGGUUUUGACGAGUUGUAUGGUGAUGGAAGGUGUGUUUGGUGGUUCUCUAAGAGAGGUUGAGCCAACUCUUGGAGGAAGGUGGCUAGAGGAGGCCACUUGGGUUGCUCUAGCCUAAGGUGACCUUAAAAGAGUAGUAUGGCAAAGAAAUGACGCAUAACUUUACUCUAAAUCAAAGUGAUUACAUGAU